rnacentral:rRNA from 1 species
GAUGAACGCUGGCGGCGUGCCUAAUACAUGCAAGUCGAACGAAGAAUUAGCAAUAAUUCUUAGUGGCGAACGGGUGAGUAACGCGUUGGUGACCUGCCCCGAAGUGUGGAAUAACAGUUCGAAAGGACUGCUAAUACCGCAUGUGAUCACAGGAGCUAGAGAACUGUGAUGAAAGGAGUAAUCCGCUUCGGGAGGGGCCUGCGUCCCAUCAGCUAGUUGGUGGGGUAAUGGCCUACCAAGGCUACGACGGGUAGGGGACCUGAGAGGGUGGCCCCCCACAAUGGAACUGAAAUACGGUCCAUACACCUACGGGUGGCAGCAGUAGGGAAUAUUGCACAAUGGGCGAAAGCCUGAUGCAGCAACGCCGCGUGCACGACGAAGGCCUUCGGGUCGUAAAGUGCUUUUCUGAGGGAUGAGUAAGGACAGUACCUCAGGAAUAAGUCUCGGCUAACUACGUGCCAGCAGCCGCCGUAAUAC